rnacentral:rRNA from 1 species
AACGAACGUUGGCGGCGUGGAUGAGGCAUGCAAGUCGAACGCGAAAGCCGCAAGGUGAGUAGAGUGGCGGACGGGCGAGUAACACGUAAUCAAGCUGCCUGCGAGACGGGGAUAACCUCGGGAAACCGAAGCUAAGACCCGAUGGUUUGCGAGGACCGCAUGGUCCAUGCAAUAAAUGGGCGGGACCUUUCGGGGUCGCCUGCUCGCAGAGGUGAUUGCGGCCCAUCAGCUAGUUGGUAGGGUAAUGGCCUACCAAGGCAACGACGGGUAGCCGGCCUUAGAGGGUGGUCGGCCGCACUGGGACUGAGACACUGCCCAGACUCCUACGGGAGGCUGCAGUCGAGAAUCUUCCGCAAUGGGCGAAAGCCUGACGGAGCGACGCCGCGUGGAGGAU